AAAUAAAAUGCAACGAUGAAUAUGCUUAUGCGUAAUUUCUACUUUUGCUAGUAUAUUUUGUCUAAUGUUGACAACGAUCACCGCGCAGUGACGUAACGACGAAAAACCGCAGCUGGACUGCGGCUUCGCUUGCAUGUACACAAUGGCGAUCGAAAAAUACACACAUUUAAGGCAUUAUUUCUCGAGUUAAAUUUGAAUUGGAAACCUAGGAUUUCGCGAGAGAGAUCAGGUCUUGCCUUCCAGGCACUCAAUCUUAUGGCUCUGUGAACUAGAUAAGGCAGUUCCUCAAAAAGUUGAAGAAAAUACUCUUGAUAGUUUCCAUCUUUAACACAUGAUGACAGUUGUGGACGAGGUUUAUCAUGCCAAUGCUGGCGAACGUUUCGUAAAAAUCUUAGGCAACCUAACCAUGUAGAGUCGGAUACUUUAUUGAAAUGAUUAAAGAAUUCAGGAUCGAUACGGUCCAUCCAA